rnacentral:rRNA from 1 species
CAAUCUAUACAGUGAAACUGCGAAUGGCUCAUUAAAUCAGUUAUCGUUUAUUUGAUAGUACCUUACUACUUGGAUAACCGUGGUAAUUCUAGAGCUAAUACAUGCUAAAAACCUCGACUUCGGAAGGGGUGUAUUUAUUAGAUAAAAAACCAAUGCCCUUCGGGGCUCCUUGGUGAUUCAUAAUAACUUAACGAAUCGCAUGGCCUUGUGCCGGCGAUGGUUCAUUCAAAUUUCUGCCCUAUCAACUUUCGAUGGUAGGAUAGUGGCCUACCAUGGUUUCAACGGGUAACGGGGAAUUAGGGUUCUAUUCCGGAGAGGGAGCCUGAGAAACGGCUACCACAUCCAAGGAAGGCAGCAGGCGCGCAAAUUACCCAAUCCCGACACGGGGAGGUAGUGACAAUAAAUACUGAUACAGGGCUCUUUUGGGUCUUGUAAUUGGAAUGAGUACAAUUUAAAUCCCUUAACGAGGAACAAUUGGAGGGCAAGUCUGGUGCCAGCAGCCGCGGUAAUUCCAGCUCCAAUAGCGUAUAUUAAAGUUGUUGCAGUUAAAAAGCUCGUAGUUGAACCUUGGGCCUGGUUGGCCGGUCCGCCUCACCGCGUGCACUGGUCCGACCGGGUCUUUCCUUCUGGGGAGCCGCAUGCCCUUCACUGGGUGUGUCGGGGAACCAGGACUUUUACUUUGAAAAAAUUAGAGUGUUCAAAGCAGGCCUAUGCUCGAAUACAUUAGCAUGGAAUAAUAGAAUAGGACGUGUGGUUCUAUUUUGUUGGUUUCUAGGACCGCCGUAAUGAUUAAUAAGGAUAGUCGGGGGCAUCAGUAUUCCAUUGUCAGAGGUGAAAUUCUUGGAUUUAUGGAAGACUAACUACUGCGAAAGCAUUUGCCAAGGAUGUUUUC